rnacentral:ribozyme from 1 species
UGUCCAAUAACUCCUAUCCCCACCUCCUCGUGGUGGCUGGGAUACGAGUAAGCGUAUAUAUAAGAUCGGAUAACUAAGCCCGGUGGGACCUUGGUGGUAUGCUGACAGGGAAGG